rnacentral:tRNA from 1 species
AAGGGUAUAGCUCAGUGGUAGAGCACGUGCUUACCAUGCACAAGGCCUGGGGUUCAACCCCCAGGACCUCCA